UCCUGGUUAGCUCAGUUGGUAUAGCGCUCCAUUGAAAAUGCAGAAGUCCCUGAUUCGAUACCAGGAC
rnacentral:tRNA from 1 species